rnacentral:rRNA from 1 species
AUGAACGCUAGCUACAGGCUUAACACAUGCAAGUCGAGGGGCAGCAUGGUCUUAGCUUGCUAAGACUGAUGGCGACCGGCGCACGGGUGAGUAACACGUAUCCAACCUGCCGUCUACUCUUGGACAGCCUUCUGAAAGGAAGAUUAAUACAAGAUGGCAUCAUGAGUCCACAUGUUCACAUGAUUAAAGGUAUUCCGGUAGACGAUGGGGAUGCGUUCCAUUAGAUAGUAGGCGGGGUAACGGCCCACCUAGUCUUCGAUGGAUAGGGGUUCUGAGAGGAAGGUCCCCCACAUUGGAACUGAGACACGGUCCAAACUCCUACGGGAGGCAGCAGUGAGGAAUAUUGGUCAAUGGGCGAGAGCCUGAACCAGCCAAGUAGCGUGAAGGAUGACUGCCCUAUGGGUUGUAAACUUCUUUUAUAAAGGAAUAAAGUCGGGUAUGCAUACCCGUUUGCAUGUACUUUAUGAAUAAGGAUCGGCUAACUCCGUGCCAGCAGCCGCGGUAAUACGGAGGAUCCGAGCGUUAUCCGGAUUUAUUGGGUUUAAAGGGAGCGUAGAUGGAUGUUUAAGUCAGUUGUGAAAGUUUGCGGCUCAACCGUAAAAUUGCAGUUGAUACUGGAUAUCUUGAGUGCAGUUGAGGCAGGCGGAAUUCGUGGUGUAGCGGUGAAAUGCUUAGAUAUCACGAAGAACUCCGAUUGCGAAGGCAGCCUGCUAAGCUGCAACUGACAUUGAGGCUCGAAAGUGUGGGUAUCAAACAGGAUUAGAUACCCUGGUAGUCCACACGGUAAACGAUGAAUACUCGCUGUUUGCGAUAUACAGCAAGCGGCCAAGCGAAAGCGUUAAGUAUUCCACCUGGGGAGUACGCCGGCAACGGUGAAACUCAAAGGAAUUGACGGGGGCCCGCACAAGCGGAGGAACAUGUGGUUUAAUUCGAUGAUACGCGAGGAACCUUACCCGGGCUUAAAUUGCAGAUGAAUUACGGUGAAAGCCGUAAGCCGCAAGGCAUCUGUGAAGGUGCUGCAUGGUUGUCGUCAGCUCGUGCCGUGAGGUGUCGGCUUAAGUGCCAUAACGAGCGCAACCCUUGUUGUCAGUUACUAACAGGUUCUGCUGAGGACUCUGACAAGACUGCCAUCGUAAGAUGUGAGGAAGGUGGGGAUGACGUCAAAUCAGCACGGCCCUUACGUCCGGGGCUACACACGUGUUACAAUGGGGGGUACAGAGGGCCGCUACCACGCGAGUGGAUGCCAAUCCCAAAAACCUCUCUCAGUUCGGACUGGAGUCUGCAACCCGACUCCACGAAGCUGGAUUCGCUAGUAAUCGCGCAUCAGCCACGGCGCGGUGAAUACGUUCCCGGGCCUUGUACACACCGCCCGUCAAGCCAUGGGAGCCGGGGGUACCUGAAGUGCGUAACCGCGAGGAGCGCCCUAGGGUAAAACUGGUGACUGGGGCU